rnacentral:rRNA from 1 species
AUUGAACGCUGGCGGCGUGCUUAACACAUGCAAGUCGAGCGGUAACAGGCGUGGCAAUACGUGCUGACGAGCGGCGAACGGGUGAGUAAUGCUUCGGAAUCUUCCUUGUAGUGGGGAAUAACCUGGGGAAACUCAGGCUAAUGCCGCAUACGAACCAUGGUUGAAAGCGGGGGAUCGCAAGACCUCGCGCUAUAAGAUGAGCCGAAGUCGGAUUAGCUAGUUGGUGGGGUAAAGGCCUACCAAGGCGACGAUCCGUAGCUGGUCUGAGAGGACGACCAGCCACACUGGGACUGAGACACGGCCCAGACUCCUACGGGAGGCAGCAGUGGGGAAUAUUGGACAAUGGGGGCAACCCUGAUCCAGCGACGCCGCGUGUGUGAAGAAGGCCUGAGGGUUGUAAAGCACUUUUAGUGGGGACAAAAAGCCGAGGGCUAAUACCUUUCGGUCUUGAUUUAACCCAAAGAAAAAGCACCGGCUAACUCUGUGCCAGCAGCCGCCGUAAUAC